AUUGAACGCUGGCGGCAGGCCUAACACAUGCAAGUCGAACGAGUGGCGGACGGGUGAGUAAUGUCUGGGAAACUGCCCGAUGGAGGGGGAUAACUACUGGAAACGGUAGCUAAUACCGCAUACCAUCGGAUGUGCCCAGAUGGGUGUAGCUAGUAGGUGGGGUAACGGCUCACCUAGGCGACGAUCCCUAGCUGGUCUGAGAGGAUGACCAGCCACACUGGAACUGAGACACGGUCCUGCCUCCUACGGGAGGCAGCAGUGGGGAAUAUUGCACAAUGGGCGAAAGCCUGAUGCAGCCAUGCCGCGUGUAUGAAGAAGGCCUUCGGUUUGUAAAGUACUGUCAGCGAGUAGGCGUUACUCGCAGAAGAAGCACCGGCUAACUCCGUGCCAGCAGCCGCGGUAAUUC
rnacentral:rRNA from 1 species